GCCAAAGCUGAACUCGAAAUGGAGCAUCCACAGAAUGGAGAUCUCCUGCACAAGCCAGGGAUUCUUUUUCCUCAAAGAGCACAGCUCUGGAGUGAGCUCUGUGAAGGCAGCACAGAUGCCUGGAAGGACCCUCUACAGAAGCCUUUGCUCCUGUGUGUUUCCGCUGCAUAGCCCAACCAGACCUCCAUCGCCGGCAUCAGCCCCCAAGGGCUUUCUCCUGCUCUCCCCAACUAGCAGCAACGCCUCCAAGCUCAUGCCUUAUUAUUUAUUCCACCGAAGCAGAGGAGUUGACAACAGCAAAAUCUCUGUUCUUAUCCUACUUGGCUGUGAACUCGAACAAACAAAGAAAAAAAAACUGGGACCAGCCACUGCCCUGGGGAACAGUGGCAGGGUGGAGUGAUCUGAACAUGAGGCAUGAGAAGAACUGAGUGACUACAGUGAUUGGGCUAUAAUAGACUCUGUCACUGGCCCAGCUGUAAUCCCUGGCGCCUGCUGCUUCACUGUGUUCUGCAGGAGUUCCACUGCCCUGAAUCUCUGACUCUGUGCCCGAGGUCUUUUUCUGGAAUUGUGGAAGGUGCUCUGCUAUGUGGGAAACAAGCUGGAAGUUCCGGGAAUCACACUUCCCAGAAGCUACACCCAACCAGUGAUUGACAGGAGUUGAAGUAAAAACAUCAUGGCUUUCUUACCCCUUAAGUGGAAUAUUUUAUACUAUUUUUCAGAAUUUCCCCAAGGAGUUAAGCUGUAAUUGCCCAUCACGGCAGCCGGGUUAAUAAGGUAUCUGUAUCUGCCAGAAUUAAAUGAGACGGCAGAAUCACAUAGUAAUUUGAGCAGGAAAAGCUUAAUAUAAGGAAUUAUCAUGUAAUUAUAGAGUUGUUCUAUAAUUAUGUAAUAUUAUAUUCUAAGCUCCUCUUAUACAAUAUAGGAGAGGAUUUGCAGUAACAAGGGAUUAGAUAGCAAGAUGUAAGAGAACUCUGAAGAAUAUAGGACUAGUGGAUAUAAGGAACAGCCACUACCCCUGGGGCUGAGGUGGAGCACUCCAAGAAUUAAAGAACCUGGAAUAAGAACACCUCACCUCACUCACGGCUCACUGGAUGGUGGACAAGUCCCUGAGUUGUGAUGCUGUAGAACUUUCUGGAAAUUUGCCCUCCAUAUUUUCAAGGGAAGAUGUCAAAGAGAAGUUUCAUCUCUCAGAAAUUAUCUCAAAACCUUCUUGGGGAUUACCAGGGAAAAUUGUCACAGGAGACUCCAUGAGGGGUCAUGUCACUCCUAGGCUGUUCAAGGGAGUUCUGGGGGAAGCUGGGCACUGCUGGUCACAACAGGUUGUAAAAGCUGGGCCCUGGAGAAGCUGUCCGCACUGCAGGAGACUGGGUGCUGCUGGAGUUGCUGGAUGAGCUUAAGGCAUGUGGGGAGAGGAGAACAUUAGAACUAGGAAAUGAAACCUCUCUCUAUUCUACUGUCCCUCCAGCACCCUCUACUGUAAACACUUAGCAUUGUGCCACCUGGCACAGGAGAAGUCUUUACAGGGCCCGUCUAUAACAUAGCAAAGCAGGCAACAAAGGGUGAACUUGGAGUGGCUCACAUGUUGCUCUAUGUUGACUUCUUCCCUUUCCUUUUUCAUUCCCCUACUCCCCUUAUUGGUUUUCCUUAAAUUCUAAAUAAAAUACAGUCAUCCUCAGUAUCCAAGGGGGAUUGGUUCCAGGCUUCUCAGAGAAUACCAAAAUCUGUGGAUGCUCAAGUCUCAGUUAUAAAAUGGCGUAGUAUUUGCAUAUAAUCUACACACGUCUUCCCAUAUACUUUAAAUCAUUUCCAUGUUACUUACAAUACCUAAAAAAACGCUACAUAAAUAGUUGUCAUUGUCAAUUACUUUUUAUUUUUGUAUCGUUAUUUAUUAUUUUUUUCAAAUUUUUUUUACUGCCUGUUUGGUUGAAUCAUGGAUGUAGGGUUCAUGGAUAUUGAGGGCUGACUAAUCGCACUUGACUUUUGACUCCGUGUUGGCUUUUGGGUAAACCCAGACUACAUUUUGAAAGUAAAGCCAAUAAAAUUUUCUAAUGCAUUGUAUUUGGGAUAUGAGCAAAACAGAGGAGUCAAGGAUGCUUCCAAUGUUUUUGGCCUAAACCAUGGGGAAAAUUUCAUCUUUAUAAUAUUAAGUUUCUUAGUUUUAAUACUGAAUAUGAUGCCUCCUUCCAAUUUCCCUGUAGAGCCCUUUGCAUCUUUCAUUGAAUUUAUUCCUAAGCAUUUAAUAGUUUUGAUGCCAUUGUAAAUGAUAUAUUUUUUCUUUUUCUUUUUUUUAAAAAUAGGGUCUCACUUUGUUAUGCAGGCUGGAGUGCAGUGGCACGAUCUUGGCUCACUGCAGCCUCGAACUCCUGGGUUCAAGUGAUCCUCCUGCCUCAGUCCCCCAAGUAGCUGGGACUACAGACAUGCACCACCAGGCCUGGCUAAUUUUUUUGUAUUUUUUGUAGAGAUGGGGUUUUGCCAUGUUGCCUAGGCUAGUCUUGAACUCCUGAGCUCAAGUGAUCCACCGGCCGUGGCCUCCCAAAGUGCUGGGAUUAUAGGCGUGAGCCACCACAUCCAGCUUGUAAAUGGUAUAUUUUUAAAUGUCAGUUUCUAAAAUGUUUUGUUAGCAUAAAGAAAUACAAUUGACUUUUUAAUACCAAGCCAUCUUGCUAAUUUAAUAAUUUAGUUCUAGAUCUGAUUUAGACUUUAUAGUUGUGCAAUUGUACUAUCUGUGGAAAAUGACAAUUUUUCUCUUCCUUUAUAAUCUUUAGCUUUUUUUUCUUUUCCUUGGCUUUUUGCAAGAUAAUGGGAUGUCCAGUGUGGUGUUAUAUACAAGUGGUAAUUGUAAGUGUCCCUGUUCUGUUCUUUUUGUUUGUUGUUCUCAAGCUCAAAGAAAAACAACUUUGCUAUUUCGUCAUUGAGUAUGAUAACACUUAAACUUUACUUACUGUAGGAUUAUUGUACAUAAUCUUUAUUGUAUUAAAGAUGUUCCUAUUUUGCUAAG
ensembl:lncRNA novel transcript